UCCCUCCGGUUUCCGCCGCCCGCCGAAGCCGCCCGCGGCCGGGCGCGCCCUUUCCUCCCUUCCCGCGCGCUGGCCGUGGCCGGCCUGCUCCUCCUCUCUUCGUCCGGGGCCCCGGGUCGUGCCUUCUGCCCCGCCUCGCCUCCUCGCGCCUGGUUUGGAUUCGCUCGCCCUCGAUUCGCCGUCCGUUUAGGUUUAGAACUGCGCCUGAUUGGGUUUCUGCUCGUGCUCGAUUCGUCCGUCUGGAAUUGCGCCCGGUUUGAUUUUGCUCGUCCUCGCCGUCGUCUGCUCGGGGUCGCGCCCGGUUUGACUUUGCUCGUCCUCGCCGUCGUCGUCUGUGUGGAGUCGCGCCCGGUUCGAUUUUGCUCGUCCUCGCCGUCGUCCGUUUAGAGUCGCGUCCGGUUCGAUAUCGCUCGUCCUCGCCGUUGUCCAGACGCGCUCGCGUGUUCUUGGUCUCGCCUCGUCGGGGGUCUCCGUCUCGAUUCUUUUAUCCGAGAGGCACUCCGGGUCCUGGGUUCCGUGUUCGCGUCGGUUGCAGGAACGAACGAGGUCUGGUUUCGAAAUUGGAUUACGGCCGGAGACGGGGAGCGAUGUUUGUUUAUCGUGCUAGUUCAGACCGGUUCCUCGGUUACGUCACCUGCGUUGCUGUCUUGUGAUACUCUGUCAACUCUUGGCCCUCUGUCAGUUCUUGUUGACCCUCUGUCAAUUCUUUGAGUUCCAGGGUCCGCUAAUUCUUGAGUUCUUGUUGUACCGGUUAGGCCUUAGGCGUGUGUGCUCUCAUCUUAGAUGGGGUGAUUCCUUAGUUCUAAUGGUGUAUACUGUUUAUGUUCUUUCCAAUUUGUUUCUUUUUUAUCAUGCUUUGCUUCGUUUUGCGUGCUGCUUGACUAAUUGAACACUUGCUGCUUGACUAAUUGUGAACACCUGCUGCUGCUACUGUUGGACAAGGUUCCUUCUAUUCUUCCUGAUGUUGCUAUUUCCAUUCAAGUACUCAUAGGAGUUCUAGAUGAGCUGCUGCUAGUUAGUUCCCCUUAGACUGCAUUCUAGAUUGCAUAGCAUAACUCCAGAAUUUUUGUCAUUGCACACCUGGGCAUAUAUAUAUUUCUGUUGUGACCAUAACUCCAGAAUUUACUUAUCCAUGAAAGCACGUUCCUCGCAUGUUUUUUAUCAAUGAUGCUAAACUCUGUCAUGUCCCUUUCCUUUGGACAACAAUUUCAACAAACCUGUAACGUGGACAUGUGCUGCUUGUUUUCUUGUGAUGAUGAUAUCCAAUUGACUAGCCCAACUCUUAUGCUCUGACAUUUGUUAAUCCCCAGUUAAGUUUUAUGGCAUCAACCCUUAUUGUGAUUAAUGACCUAGUAUUUGUUUAGUGUAGACAGUUGGCUUCUUUUUUCUUAAAUUUUUAGUGAUAUGCGUGUUUUGUUAUGUCUUAUGUUGAAUAAUGACCUAGUAUUACUCAUGUCCAGUCACUGGAAUAAUGCUUUUCAUGAUUUUCCUAGACUUUGUGACAAUUAAUUUAUAGUGCUAUCUUUUUUCAUUGAUCAUUGAGCUUCUGACAUCCUAUUGCGUAAAAUUCUGUUGUAAUGUUUGUUUGAUCAUUGAGUGGUUAAUAUUGAUUCUGCGUGCACUUCUGUUAUCUGAGAGACACUCACAAAGUUAUGAUCCUGCGUUUCGUGUUUGCGGUGGAGCGAUGAACGAUUACGUUUCGUGUUCCUGCAUUUUGUGUUCGCCGUCUGGUUUUGAAUGUGGAUUACGGAGACGGGGAGAGGCCAGCAAGGUCAGUUUUAGAUCGGUUCUGUUGCUGUGUUGUUCGUCGGCGAUUUCCAGACCUCAAACGCCUGCGCCCUUGUGAUACUCAGGUUUGGCUCGCUGGUCGUUACGGUUGUUCUUAUGUUCUUGAAUAACCCCAUCUUAUACACAGAGAUGAGGUGAUUCGUUAGGGUUCUUCUGAUGGUUGCUUAUGUUCUUUUGAAUUGAGUUCUUUUUGUAAUGCUUUGCUUAUGUUCCCGGUGUCUUUCCAUGUGUGGGGAUGCGUUGAGAGGUGCAAACCGUGUAGGCCGUGGUGUUUUUAUACUAUCUAUGGUGUGUUUUAUACUAUCUUAUGUGGAAUGUAGAAAUAUUGAUAUCACUUCUGUGCUAGUAUACUAGAUAUGGUGUGUUUUAUGUUUUAUCCAAGUUACUAACCACAUCUCUUACAAAUUUUCCUUGAGAUGGUACAUGUUUAUAUGACAGGAGUGAUUGAUGUCUUGACGAAUAGUGCAGAGUACUUGAUCAUAGGUACCAGACCAGUACUUGAUCAUAGGUACCAGACCAGUACUUGUUAGUGGAGACAACUGACUAUAUUUUUUAGGUUGUAGUGAUUAGAGAGAAGGUUGCAGAACUGUAUGAAUCUGAACAACAAUGGUUGAGAGCAGCACAAAUGCUUAGUGGCAUUGACUUGGACUCAGGAAUCAGGAUGCUUGAUGACACAAACAAAUUAUCCAAGUGCGUCCAGAUUGCACGACUCUAUUUGGAGGAUGAUGAUGAUGUAGUGAAUGCUGAAGCCUUUAUCAACAAAGCCUCGUUUUUGGUCACAAACAGCAACCGGGAAAUUCUGAACUUACAAUACAAGGUCUGCUAUGCGAGAAUUUUAGAUCUAAAGCGUAAAUUCUUGGAAGCUGCACUUUGAUACUAUGGUAUCUCUCAAAUUGAGCAACGCCAAAUUGGGGAUGAAAAUCUUGAUGCAACAUGUUUCUUAGUGCUGCUGUAACAUGCACAAUAUUGGCUGGUGCUGGCCCACAACGCUCUCGUGUUCUUGCUACAUUGUACAAGGUUGUUCCUGGCUAUGGUCAUGGAGUUCUACGUAAUACAGACCCAAGAUACUCGUGCCAAAGGGAGUUCACAUUGAAAUAUUUACUCGAGGACCCACUUUUCCAACUGGAACGAAGAUCUGAAUCACCCUCACCCCUCUAGAGAAAUCAGUUUACUCAUUCAAGUUCUCGAAAUUCUUUAUAGUUUUCUGGGUUUACUUCGGUCUUGCAUGUAUUAGCUUUCUCUUUGUGCCCCUAUCUAUCCCUGUUUCUUGUGUGCAAGCGCUCCAUUCUGUGUGUGUGACUGUGUGUGGCUUGAUUAUGGGUGUGGCUUGACUUUGUGUGUGUGGCUUGAUUAUGUGUGUGGCUUGAUUGUAUGUGUGGCUUGAUUAUGUGUGUGGCUUGAUUGUAUGUGUGGCUUGACUGUGUGUGUGGGCUUGACUGUGUGUGUGAGAUUGUGUGUGGCUUGAUGGUGAAUAUGUGUGUGGCUUGACUGUGUGUAUGUGUGUGGCUUGACUAUGUGUGUGGUGUGUGAAUAUUGCAUUUGCUUGAUGGUAUGGCUUGUAUAACUUGUGUUUUAUAUGUCACGAUUGAUUGCUGUUUGUUGAAUGUGAACAGACCUAACACUAUUCUUUUUCAAACUUUUUUGUGAUUAUGUCUUAUGUGGAUAUCAUACUCUUUUUUGUAUUACUGUUGUCCAGUCACUGGAAUAACGCUUUUCUAAGUAUUUAUAAGGUGCAGCCAUGUGGAUCUGGACAUGAUGCUAAGGACACUGAUGGGUUGGGUUUGCAUACAAUGCAGAUGUGCUGUAUCCAUAACUACCUAUUGGCACCUGAUAUUUGUGCUCAAAAUGCAGUAUGGACCAACAAAAUGGUCUCAUUGCAAGGUGGACGUAUAGGCACGAAAUGUCAAGAGAGAAGAUGAUUGGACUAUCGAGGAGGAACAUGCACUGAUUAAUGCCCAUCAGGUAUAUGGGAAUAGAUGGGCAGAAAUAGCAAAAGUUCUUCCUAGAAGGAAUCGGGUACUUCUAUUUGUUCUCAGGUUCUUCUCACCUAUAGCUAAAGUCAAAGACGACAAACCAAGUGGAUUAUUGAAGUUGCAAGAUGCACAUAAUCAUCGGUCAUCUAAAUCUUCUUUUCUAAUAUGACUGUUGGUGCUGCUCAUGAGGCUAGCCAUUGGCUUGGAAGCGAUGAGAGGCAAUCACUGUUGUCAACUUGAAACGUAUAAUUUUUUAGGAACGAAGAUCUGAAUCACCCUCACGCCUCGAGAGAAAUCAGUUUACUCAUUCAGGUUCUGGUAUUUCUUUAUAGCUUUCUGAGUUUACUUCGGUCUUGCAUGUAUUUGCUUUCUGUUUGUGCCCCUAUCUAUUUCUGUUUCUUGUGUGCAAGCGCUUCAUUCUGUGUGUGUCCGACUUUGUGUGGCUUGACUCUCUUGUGUGUGUGGCUUGACUGUCUAUGUGUGUGUGGCUUGACUGUCUAUGUGUGUCACUAUGUGUUUGACUGUGUGUGAAUAUUGCAUUUGACUGUGAUGCGUGACUGUGUGUCUGACUCUGUGUGUGUGAUUGUGUGAAUAUUGUGCAUUUGACUGUGAUGUGUGACUGUGUGAGUAUUGCAUUUUGACUAUGACUGUGGCUUGACUCUGUGUGUGUGGCUUGUAUGCUUUGUUGAAUGAUUGGUUGUUGUGGCUUAACACUGCCUUUGCCGGUCCCAAGCCCGGAUGUAAAAAUGUGGAGGGAGUCUGUUUCUUGUGUGCAAGUGCUACAUUGUGUGUGUGUGACUGUGUGUGUGAUGUGCCCGUAUCUAUGUAUGUUUCUUUUGUCUUGAUUGUGUGCAAGCGCUUGAUUGUGUGUGUGCUUGUGCGACCAUGCGUGUAUUGCAUUUGCUUGAUGGUGUGGCAUGUAUGCUUUGCGGAAUGAUUGGUGUUGUAUAACUU